UGUAGUCAUAUGCUUGUCUCAAAGAUUAAGCCAUGCAUGUCUAAGUAUAAAUAAAUUUAUAUUGUGAAACUGCGAAUGGCUCAUUAAAUCAGUUAUGAUCUACGUGACAUAUUCUUUACUACUUGGAUAACCGUGGUAAUUCUAGAGCUAAUACAUGCAAAAAAACCCAAACUUACGAAUGGGUGCACUUAUUAGAUAAAGCCAACGCUGGGUAAAACCAGUUUCCCUUGGUGAUUCAUAAUAAUUUAGCGGAUCGCAUGGCCUUGUGCUAGCGACAGUCCACUCGAUUUUCUGCCCUAUCAUGGUUGAGAUUGUAAGAUAGAGGCUUACAAUGCCUACAACGGGUAACGGGGAAU
rnacentral:rRNA from 1 species